rnacentral:miRNA from 1 species
GUGAGAAUGGGAGUGAUGAUGAGAGGGGGAGAAUGAGAAGGAGGAGUAACAAAAGUGAAAACAAUUUGAAAUAGAUUUCAUUUUUUAGUUUUUGUUUUCACUUUUGUUACUCCUCAUUUCCAUCUUCUCCUCUCAUCUUUCCCCUCAAUUCC